AGAGUUUGAUCCUGGCUCAGGACGAACGCUGGCGGCGUGCUUAACACAUGCAAGUCGAACGGAAAGGCCCUUCGGGGUACUCGAGUGGCGAACGGGUGAGUAACACGUGGGUAAUCUGCCCUGCACUUCGGGAUAAGCCUGGGAAACUGGGUCUAAUACCGGAUAUGACCCCGAGGCGCAUGCCUUGGGGUGGAAAGCUUUUGCGGUGUGGGAUGGGCCCGCGGCCUAUCAGCUUGUUGGUGGGGUGACGGCCUACCAAGGCGACGACGGGUAGCCGGCCUGAGAGGGUGUCCGGCCACACUGGGACUGAGAUACGGCCCAGACUCCUACGGGAGGCAGCAGUGGGGAAUAUUGCACAAUGGGCGCAAGCCUGAUGCAGCGACGCCGCGUGGGGGAUGACGGCCUUCGGGUUGUAAACCUCUUUCACCAUCGACGAAGGUCCGGGUUUUCUCGGAUUGACGGUAGGUGGAGAAGAAGCACCGGCCAACUACGUGCCAGCAGCCGCGGUAAUACGUAGGGUGCGAGCGUUGUCCGGAAUUACUGGGCGUAAAGAGCUCGUAGGUGGUUUGUCGCGUUGUUCGUGAAAUCUCACGGCUUAACUGUGAGCGUGCGGGCGAUACGGGCAGACUGGAGUACUGCAGGGGAGACUGGAAUUCCUGGUGUAGCGGUGGAAUGCGCAGAUAUCAGGAGGAACACCGGUGGCGAAGGCGGGUCUCUGGGCAGUAACUGACGCUGAGGAGCGAAAGCGUGGGGAGCGAACAGGAUUAGAUACCCUAGUAGUCC
rnacentral:rRNA from 1 species